AAGAGGAAGACAAUAGAGUUUGGAUGAGCUGCUGCCCAGAGCCCUUUGUUUCUGUCCUCAGGUAAAAAUAUUUCCUGGACCUGAUUCUCGUUGGAUGGAAGUCUUGUGGACCCUAUAGAGAUUUGGCCAUAGGAGUAACACUUAACCAUCUGCUGUGGUGGAAAGAACACUCACUGUAGGGUCACUCUAGCCUGGAUUCUAAUCUCAGUUCUUUAUUUAUCAGGUGAG
rnacentral:lncRNA from 1 species